UCUUCAGAUGAUGAUCCCAAGCCUUCUGGCGAUCUAUGGAAAUGGGCUACUUUUUUAGCUUUUAGAUUUGUUUCCAUUAUUCAGAUUAUGCCGGGGAAGGUUUUCCGGUUUAUCCCGGAGGGCUUGUAGCUCAGUUGGUUAGAGCGCGCGCUUGAUAAGCGUGAGGUCGGAGGUUCAAGUCCUCCCAGGCCCACCAAUUCAAUUAGGGAGUGAUAAAGCGCUUAUUGUACGAUGCAGAUAACAUGUACGAUUUAUCAAAUAUGCCGAGAUGAUUUUGUCUCAGAUUGAGAUUUAUCACUUUAUAAAUUUAUGCUUUUUGUUUUUGUUCUUUUUAGGGGCCGUAGCUCAGCUGGGAGAGCACCUGCUUUGCAAGCAGGGGCCGUCGGU
rnacentral:misc_RNA from 1 species